rnacentral:lncRNA from 1 species
GCUUUCUUUUAGGUGUCACUCAGUCCUCACUUCCUUCCGUUCCGCCUCGGCCUCUCCCUCGCGUUGCCUUGCUUUUGCCUUCGCCUCUCCCUCAUGCAACCUCCGGCAUCUCCUCCUCCGUCUCAGCUCAGGCAUGCACAACUGUUUGCCUCCACCUCUCCCUCACGCAACCUCCACAUCUCCUCCGGCGUCUCAGCUCUUCAACGUCUCCUCCUUUGUCAAAGCUCUUUGGCGUCUCCUUCUCCAUCUCAGAUCCGUUUCGUCAGAACCCAAGACCCGUCCGUUUUGUCCAAACCCGAGACGGUGAGACCCGUCCGUUCCGUCUGUCUUCGAUCUUAACCUUUGCAAGCUGAUCUCAUAUCUCAAUCCCUCCUCCGUCUCCAAUCUCUAACUCUUCUUUGUCUCUGAGACCUGUCCGUUCGUCUCCUCCGCAGGCCAACCCGUUAACAAAAAAAAGAAAAAAAAACUCGACCCAACCCAACCCAUAUUUUAUGGAUUGGGUUGGAAUAUAAAUUCGAGUUAUGAGUUGGAUUGAGUCAACCCAACUCAAUUUCACCCCUAGAUUUUAUGUUCUAAUCUCAAAAAUAAAAAACAAUCUUGCUUUACUUUUGCAAAAUUUACCAAACCACUCAUUUUAUCAAAAUCUUGAAUCUUGACAUCUACUUAACAUAGAUUUUGUAUGGAUCGACAUCUUACUCUUUACGACAUUCUUAGUAGAAAUAAUUGUACAAGAUUGAAGUUGUACAAAUUUCUUUUGUUCACCUGUUAUAGAAUUAGAGGUAGACCCGGGAACACGAUCAAUCAUAAUAACAAGUAAAUAGCACUUUUGGAACCAUUUGCCGUACCAUGGACUCCAC